rnacentral:rRNA from 1 species
AUUGAACGCUGGCGGCAGGCCUAACACAUGCAAGUCGAGCGGGGUUUUCGGACCUAGCGGCGGACGGGUGAGUAAUGCGUAGGAAUCUGCCUAUUAGUGGGGGACAACAUUUCGAAAGGGAUGCUAAUACCGCAUACGCCCUAAGGGGGAAAGCAGGGGAUCUUCGGACCUUGCGCUAAUAGAUGAGCCUAAGUCGGAUUAGCUAGUUGGUGGGGUAAAGGCCUACCAAGGCGACGAUCUGUAGCGGGUCGGAGAGGAUGAGCCGCCACACUGGGCCUGAGACACGGCCCAGACUCCUACGGGAGGCAGCAGUGGGGAAUAUUGGACAAUGGGGGGAACCCUGAUCCAGCCAUGCCGCGUGUGUGAAGAAGGCCUUUUGGUUGUAAAGCACUUUAAGCGAGGAGGAGGCUACCGAGAUUAAUACUCUUGGAUAGUGGACGUUACUCGCAGAAUAAGCACCGGCUAACUCUGUGCCAGCAGCCGCCGUAACAC